rnacentral:rRNA from 1 species
CCUACGGGAGGCUGCAGUGAGGAAUAUUGGUCAAUGGACGAGAGUCUGAACCAGCCAAGUAGCGUGAAGGAUGACUGCCCUAUGGGUUGUAAACUUCUUUUAUAUGGGAAUAAAAUGUUCCACGUGUGGGAUUUUGUAUGUACCAUAUGAAUAAGGAUCGGCUAACUCCGUGCCAGCAGCCGCGGUAAUACGGAGGAUCCGAGCGUUAUCCGGAUUUAUUGGGUUUAAAGGGAGCGUAGGUGGAUUGUUAAGUCAGUUGUGAAAGUUUGCGGCUCAACCGUAAAAUUGCAGUUGAAACUGGCAGUCUGGAGUACAGUAGAGGUGGGCGGAAGUCGUGGUGUAGCGGUGAAAUGCUUAGAUAUCACGAAGAACUCCGAUUGCGAAGGCAGCUCACUGGACUGCAACUGACACUGAGGCUCGAAAGUGUGGGUAUCAAACAGGAUUAGAUACCCCAGUAGUC